AUUGAACGCUGGCGGCAGGCCUAACACAUGCAAGUCGAACGAGUGGCGGACGGGUGAGUAAUGUCUGGGAAACUGCCUGCUGGAGGGGGAUAAAUACUGGAAAAGGUCGCUAAUAACGCCUACCAUCAGAUGUGCCCAGAUGGGAUUAGCUAGUUGGUGGGGUAACGGCUCACAAAGGCGACGAUCCCUAGAUGGUCUGAGAGGAUGACCAGCCACACUGGACUUGAGACACGGUCCAGACUCCUACGGGAGGCAGGAGUGGGGAAUAUUGCACAAUGGGCGCAAGCCUGAUGCAGCCAUGCCGCGUGUAUGAAGAAGGCCUUCGGGUUGUAAAGUACUUUCAGCGGGGAGGCGUUACCCGCAGAAGAAGCACCGGCUAACUCCGUGCCAGCAGCCGCGGUAAUUC
rnacentral:rRNA from 1 species